UACGGAGGGUCCGAACGUUAUCCGGAAUCAUUGGGUUUAAAGGGUCCGUAGGCGGGACAUUAAGGGAGGGGUGAAAGGUUGCAGCUCAACUGUAGAAUUGCCUUUGAUACUGGUGUUCUUGAGUUAUGUUUCUGUGGUCGGAACAUGUGGUGUAGCGGUGAAAUGCUUAGAUAUCACAUAGAACGCCGAUUGCGAAGGCAGGUCACAAAACAUAUACUGACGCUGAGGGACGAAAGCGUGGGGAGCGAACGGG
rnacentral:rRNA from 1 species